rnacentral:rRNA from 1 species
GGAGAGGGGGAGAGUCAAUCAUCAUGCCCCUUAUGACCUGGGCUACACACGUGCUACAAUGGCNNGGUACAACGAGUUGCGANGUNCGCUGANGCUAAGCUAAUCUCUUAAAGCNUNUCUCAGUUCGGAUUGUAGGCUGCAACUCGCCUACAUGAAGNCGGAAUCGCUAGUAAUCGCGGAUCAGCACGCCGCGGUGAAUACGUUCCCGGGCCUUGUACACACCGCCCGUCACACCACGAGAGUUUGUAACACCCGAAGUCGGUGAGGUAACCUUUU